GAUGAACGCUAGCUACAGGCUUAACACAUGCAAGUCGAGGGGCAGCAUGAACUUAGCUUGCUAAGUUUGAUGGCGACCGGCGCACGGGUGAGUAACACGUAUCCAACCUGCCGUCUACUCUUGGCCAGCCUUCUGAAAGGAAGAUUAAUCCAGGAUGGGAUCAUGAGUUCACAUGUCCGCAUGAUUAAAGGUAUUUUCCGGUAGACGAUGGGGAUGCGUUCCAUUAGAUAGUAGGCGGGGUAACGGCCCACCUAGUCAACGAUGGAUAGGGGUUCUGAGAGGAAGGUCCCCCACAUUGGAACUGAGACACGGUCCAA
rnacentral:rRNA from 1 species